GACGAACGCUGGCGGCGUGCUUAAUACAUGCAAGUCGAACGGUAAGUUCCUGCCUUUGUGUUGUACUCGAGUGGCGAGCGGGUGAGUAACACGUGAGUUAACACCCCUUUAACCUGGGAUAACGUCAGGGAAAUGGGGCUAAUACCGGAUAUGAGCCCCCGUAGCAUGGUGUGCGUCGUAACAUUUCGGUGGUUGGGGAUGGCGGCGCGGCUUAUCGGCUUGAUGGUGGGGUAGUUGGUUACCAGGGCUUUGACGGGUAGCCGGCCUGAGCGGGUGAACGGCCACAAGGGGACUGAGGUACGGACCAGACGCCUACGGGCGGCAGCAGUGGAGAAUAUUGCACAAUGGGCGGAAGCCUGAUGCAGCGACUCCGCGUGCGUGAUGACGGCCUUCGGGUUGUAAACCACUUUCGCCUGUGACGAAGCGUGAGUGACGGUAAUGGGUAAAGAAGCACCGGCUAACUACGUG
rnacentral:rRNA from 1 species